rnacentral:rRNA from 1 species
UACGUAGGGGGCUAGCGUUGUCCGGAAUUAUUGGGCGUAAAGAGCGUGUAGGCGGUUCGAUAAGUCUGCUGUAAAAGUCGGGGGCUCAACCCUCGAAGGCCGGUGGAUACUGUCGAGCUAGAGUACGGAAGAGGCGAGUGGAAUCCUGGUGUAGCGGUGAAAUGCGCAGAUAUCAGGAGGAACACCAAUUGCGAAGGCAGCUCGCUGGGACGUAACUGACGCUGAGACGCGAAAGCGUGGGGAGCAAACAGG